GCGUGGGGGAGAGGUUUUUGGAUCGUAACCCCUUUUGUCAGGAAGAAGCUCUGAAAAACUUGACGAAUAAGCCUCGGCUAACUCCGUGCCAGCAGCCGCGGUAAUACGGAGGAGGCAAGCGUUAUCCGGAAUGAUUGGGCGUAAAGCGUCUGUAGGUGGCCAGCUAAGUCUGCUGUUAAAGAUCACAGCUCAACUGUGGGAAGGCAGUGGAAACUGGCAAGCUAGAGGUUGGUAGGGGUAAAGGGAAUUCCCGGUGUAGCGGUGAAAUGCGUAGAUAUCGGGAAGAACACCGGUGGCGAAAAGCGCUUUACUGGGCCAGACCUGACACUGAAGGACGAAAGCUAGGGGAGCGAAAGGGAUUAGAUACCCCUGUAGCUACAA
rnacentral:rRNA from 1 species